rnacentral:rRNA from 1 species
UACGAAGGGGGCUAGCGUUGCUCGGAAUCACUGGGCGUAAAGCGCACGUAGGCGGAUCGUUAAGUCAGGGGUGAAAUCCUGGAGCUCAACUCCAGAACUGCCUUUGAUACUGGCGAUCUUGAGUUCGGGAGAGGUGAGUGGAACUGCGAGUGUAGAGGUGAAAUUCGUAGAUAUUCGCAAGAACACCAGUGGCGAAGGCGGCUCACUGGCCCGAUACUGACGCUGAGGUGCGAAAGCGUGGGUAGCGAACAGG